CGGGCCGAGGAGCGCUGCAGUCGCCAGGUCUCUGGUGGUCAGGCUCGGCCCGUUUUCCUUCGUGUAAAACCGCGCUCGCUUUCA
rnacentral:ncRNA from 2 species